AUUAGCAAAAAUUACUGAUUAUAUUGAGUUUAUAAGUAUAAUUUAUGAGGCUGGAAGGUAAUUAUUCAGUUUAUUUAUAUGCUUGUAAUUAUUGCGGGUGGUCGGCGCAUGCGCGGCGACGCAACAGUUGUCAGCAACAAAUUUAUUAAAUUAUCAAUGAAAUUUAUAAUUAUGUUACAUACACUAUCAAUGGGCUUAUAUAUUUAAAUUACUGUUAAUUAAUAAUAUACAAAGUAAUUGGGCAUUUGACGGCGGGAAUUGGCAAGGCUACACAAUUGACAUCGGGUACGUCAGCGUUGGUAGUAUUUGAAAGUAACAUGCGAUAGAGAUAUUACUCCAAUGGGUUAAACUGAGAUGCAUAUAUGAAAUAUGGCCGGUCGAGGUGCCGGCAUGAAAAUCACGUGCUGCCAUGGUCAGACGUGGAUAAUCUUUUGUACGAGCAGGGUGUGCUGUUGCGUGCUAAAAUUUGUCAAGUGAUUUUGCUUUGAUUUACAUACACAUAUCUCUGGUCAAUUGAGUUAUUUUGAGUUACACAAAUAUUGCAACUGAUGAUGGAGCCGAUCCGCCACUUGUACUACGACGACGACUGAAUGGCUCGAGACCGAAGACGCCCGAAGUCGUGCGGGGAGCGAGUAAUUGUAAACGGGGACCGGAACGAAAAAGGAUACUUAUCACCGGAACGACCGGACCAGACAGAUGUUGUCUAGGCCACAGAGAGAGUAGAAGCUAACAACAUCUGAACAGGCGCCAUUGUCGGACGCCAUUAAUCGGAAAUCAGGUUGAAGGAGAAAAUGGGUAGAGGAGACGAGAGAUAGGAGAGAGAACGAGAUAAAAGACGAGAAUUAAUAGGGACGGAACCAGGAACGAGACAAUAAUUCACAGAUACGAGAUAGAAGCACCAGGACAAAACGACAAACAAGGAUAACCACGACAAGGACAGAUUGGAAAAUUUAAUUGUUGUAAAAUGUAAUUGUAAUAAAAAUAAUAGAAUUGUGUGCGGCGUCACGCUCAUACGUUGACCAGUCUAGGGUUAUAUCAAAAUAUCUAAAAUUGGUACUUAUAGUCAAGAAGAUAUCGCGGUUCUGGAAAACAGUGUCGAACUUGGACAUGCAGGAAGCAACUUUUUUUUUUCUAUUGAAAUGUUGGAAAGCUGCAGACGCUCAAACAUCAUUUACAUCCAUGGGAACUUCUUUUGUAAAAUCAGUUUUUAGUAGUGAAGAAAUCUUGAACAGUAAUUUGAGAGGAAAAAGAAGUAGCAUUAACGUAGAUGCACCUGUACGACCUGCAUUAGAUCCUAUAAAACUGGCAGCAAUUAAAAGUAAAAAAAAAACAAAAAGACACUGCUUUCUUUGUAAUUAAAAGGAAACUGUAAGUAAUAAGUUUGAGAAGUUCAAAAGAGGAUAUUCUGAAACAGGAAUAAAUAGUAUGCUGAAUGAAAAGCGCCGUAAAAAUCAAUAGCAACUUAAUAAAGUUAAUCAAGCUGAAGGCAAUAAAUAACAUAUGCUUUUCAAAUAAACCG